UAAUGUCAAGGCGAAUACAGCAGGAGCACAGAAAUUGCUGCACAAGAUAAGCAGUAAGCCUAGCUCUAGAUCCUCUCUUAAACAGUACCCAACAGCUGCAGAAUUAAAAAUAACAGCCUUCAGUUAACAGCAUCAAGAACCCCAGCAAUCGCUCAGUACCUCCACAUGCUAAAUGCUAGAAUGUACAUAAAGCUAUUACAUGCAAUCACCUGGUGCCAGCUGCCAUGCAACAUGAGAUCUCAUCCCCCUUGCAGCAGGGGGAAACUCCUGCUUGCCGCAGAACAUGGACCAAACACCACACCCAUGGAAAACAUAGUGCUGCGGUGACCUGCCUGGGGGUCCGUUGCCUCCCGUGACAAUUUCCACCAGUGGUGUGGGGACAGCUCGCUGCCUCGGCUCAGCGACGAGACAACAGCCCUGGCCCCAGUUCAAUGGGAGAUAAACUGCAAAGAACAAAUCUCUGCCAGCUGUGAUUUCUUACAUAUGAACUACAGAGAUGGAAAACAUAUGUUUUGGAGAAGUAAGGAAGAAAAGCAGCAGAAACAGAUAGAGACUUUCCAAAAAGAAAGCAUUUAGUCUGCCUUCCAAGCAAUGGAAAUUCCGGUUUUAGAAACUGUGCUACAGGCUAGUAAUGUAAAACGCUGGCUAUGGUACACGGAAAAAAAAAAAAAAAGGAGAAAAGAAAGCUUUUGUAA